UGGGGAAUAUUGCACAAUGGGCGAAAGCCUGAUGCAGCGACGCCGCGUGAGGGAUGACGGCCUUCGGGUUGUAAACCUCUUUCAGUAGGGACGAAGCGCAAGUGACGGUACCUGCAGAAGAAGCACCGCCUAACUACGUGCCAGCAGCCGCGGUAAUACGUAGGGUGCGAGCGUUGUCCGGAAUUACUGGGCGUAAAGAGCUCGUAGGCGGUUUGUCACGUCGUCUGUGAAAUCCUAGGGCUUAACCCUGGACGUGCAGGCGAUACGGGCUGACUUGAGUACUACAGGGGAGACUGGAAUUUCUGGUGUAGCGGUGGAAUGCACAGAUAUCAGGAAGAACACCGAUGGCGAAGGCAGGUCUCUGGGUAGUAACUGACGCUGAGGAGCGAAAGCAUGGGUAGCGAACAGG
rnacentral:rRNA from 1 species